rnacentral:rRNA from 1 species
GAUGAACGCUGGCGGCGUGCUUAACACAUGCAAGUCGAACGGAAAGGCUCCUGCUUGCAGGGGUACUCGAGUGGCGAACGGGUGAGUAACACGUGGGUGAUCUGCCCUGCACUUCGGGAUAAGCCUGGGAAACUGGGUCUAAUACCGGAUAGGUCCACAUUUUGGAUGGCGUGGUGGAGAGUUUUUCGGUGUGGGAUGAGCUCGCGGCCUAUCAUCUAGUUGGUGGGGUAAUGGCCUACCAUGGCGUCGACGGGUAGCCGGCCUGCGAGGGUGUACGGCCACAUUGGGACUGAGAUCCGGCCCAGACUCCUACGGGCGGCAGCAGUGGGGAAUAUUGCACAAUGGGCGCAAGGCGGAUGCAGCGACGACGCGUGGGGGAUGAAGGCCUUCGGGUUGUAAUCUCCUUUCGCUAGGGACGAAGCGUUUUUGUGACGGUACCCGGAGAAGAAGCACCGGCUAACUACGUG